rnacentral:sRNA from 1 species
UUCGAGAGGUGAUCCAAGCCUACGUGAA